rnacentral:rRNA from 1 species
AGAGUUUGAUCCUGGCUCAGAUUGAACGCUGGCGGCAUGCCUUACACAUGCAAGUCGAACGGCAGCACGGGUGCUUGCACCUGGUGGCGAGUGGCGAACGGGUGAGUAAUAUAUCGGAACGUACCCUAGAGUGGGGGAUAACGUAGCGAAAGUUACGCUAAUACCGCAUACGAUCUACGGAUGAAAGUGGGGGAUCGCAAGACCUCAUGCUCAUGGAGCGGCCGAUAUCUGAUUAGCUAGUUGGUGGGGUAAAAGCCUACCAAGGCGACGAUCAGUAGCUGGUCUGAGAGGACGACCAGCCACACUGGAACUGAGACACGGUCCAGACUCCUACGGGAGGCAGCAGUGGGGAAUUUUGGACAAUGGGGGCAACCCUGAUCCAGCAAUGCCGCGUGAGUGAAGAAGGCCUUCGGGUUGUAAAGCUCUUUUGUCAGGGAAGAAACGGGAUUUUCUAAUACAAAGUCCUAAUGACGGUACCUGAAGAAUAAGCACCGGCUAACUACGUGCCAGCAGCCGCGGUAAUACGUAGGGUGCAAGCGUUAAUCGGGAUUACUGGGCGUAAAGCGUGCGCAGGCGGUUGUGCAAGACAGAUGUGAAAUCCCCGGGCUCAACCUGGGAAUUGCAUUUGUGACUGCACGGCUAGAGUGUGUCAGAGGGGGGUAGAAUUCCACGUGUAGCAGUGAAAUGCGUAGAGAUGUGGAGGAAUACCGAUGGCGAAGGCAGCCCCCUGGGAUAACACUGACGCUCAUGCACGAAAGCGUGGGGAGCAAACAGGAUUAGAUACCCUGGUAGUCCACGCCCUAAACGAUGUCUACUAGUUGUCGGGUCUUAAUUGACUUGGUAACGCAGCUAACGCGUGAAGUAGACCGCCUGGGGAGUACGGUCGCAAGAUUAAAACUCAAAGGAAUUGACGGGGACCCGCACAAGCGGUGGAUGAUGUGGAUUAAUUCGAUGCAACGCGAAAAACCUUACCUACCCUUGACAUGUACGGAACUUACCAGAGAUGGUUUGGUGCUCGAAAGAGAACCGUAACACAGGUGCUGCAUGGCUGUCGUCAGCUCGUGUCGUGAGAUGUUGGGUUAAGUCCCGCAACGAGCGCAACCCUUGUCAUUAGUUGCUACGAAAGGGCACUCUAAUGAGACUGCCGGUGACAAACCGGAGGAAGGUGGGGAUGACGUCAAGUCCUCAUGGCCCUUAUGGGUAGGGCUUCACACGUCAUACAAUGGUACAUACAGAGGGCCGCCAACCCGCGAGGGGGAGCUAAUCCCAGAAAGUGUAUCGUAGUCCGGAUUGUAGUCUGCAACUCGACUACAUGAAGUUGGAAUCGCUAGUAAUCGCGGAUCAGCAUGUCGCGGUGAAUACGUUCCCGGGUCUUGUACACACCGCCCGUCACACCAUGGGAGCGGGUUUCACCAGAAGUAGGUAGCCUAACCGCAAGGAGGGCGCUUACCACGGUGGGAUUCGUGACUGGGGUGAAGUCGUAACAAGGUA